rnacentral:lncRNA from 1 species
UCUUCUCCACACAUGACACAUAUGCAACCUAAAUUGAUUUUCAGUUGUUCUUUCAAUAAAUUGUGAAUCUCAACACUUCAGAUUAACCGUGAACAACACUUUUUUAAUCUUCAAGUUUUCCUUAAGUUAUUGAAUUGGACGGGAAAACGCAUACAACAAUUCAAAACAUUCUUCAAAAGUCCCCUAUGUGAAAAGCACAAUAGAGAUACAAUCAAAGAUCAUUAAACUUUAUGAAAACUAUAAGCAUUGACGAGGCAUUCGUAAAUAUGAAAAGCAUGAUACUCUUGCCAAGAAUUUACUUAACGUGAUUGUGACUAGCAACCUUUACUACUUGUGAAAAUAAGUUCAUAACGAUUAGGUGAAAUUCACUUAUAUUCUAGCAUCAAAUUCAUGCAUGUAAAUUAAGCGUGCACUCUCAACCAACAUACACAAAUCAGUUUUUAUACGAACGGAUAAGUAAAUUGAAUUCACAACUUAUGAAAUCACAACCGAAGGUAAUCAAUUCAUAUUACAAAUAUAUCCAUGACUUUGAAUUAACCUCUAGCCAAAAUAAAUUUAAUUACACAUUAUUAAAAAUAGAAAUAAAAUAGAAGUUUAGAGAGAUUAAACCGAAAGAGAAAAAGAUCUCUGUCUGCGUUUCCACUGAGCAGCCCUCUCGCUGCCCAAAGGCAGCGCCUAUCUUUCUGCGUGCUGUCUCCUGCUCGUUUCUGGUUCUCUCCACCCCUCACGCUACUCAAUGACUCACGCUACUCACUGACUCCCUCGCUGCAAGGCAGCCUUUUCACAUUCCUGUCGUUUGUCUUGCUGUCCUUCCACUCUCUCAAGCUGCCCAAUGGCAGCCCGUCUAAUCUCUCCCCGCGUUUUCUCUCCGCAGCUUCACGCUGCCCAAAGGGCAGCCCUCUGCCUUCCACCAAUUCCCUGCGCCUUUUCUGCUUUGUAUUCUUCCCUUCUGCGCCUCGCUGGCGCC